rnacentral:rRNA from 1 species
UACGAAGGGGGCUAGCGUUGUUCGGAAUUACUGGGCGUAAAGGGCGCGUAGGCGGCGACCCAAGUCAGAUGUGAAAGUCCUGGGCUUAACUCGGAAAGGUCAACUGAUACUGUGCGACUAGAGUGCAGAAGGGGCAACUGGAAUUCUCGGUGUAGCGGUGAAAUGCGUAGAUAUCGAGAGGAACACCUGCGGCGAAGGCGGGUUGCUGGGCUGACACUGACGCUGAGGCACGAAAGCGUGGGGAUCAAACAGG